AACGAACGCUGGCGGCAUGCCUAACACAUGCAAGUCGAACGAUGCCUUCGGGCAUAGUGGCUCACGGGUGCGUAACGCGUGGGAAUCUGCCUUUCGGUUCGGAAUAACUCAGGGAAACUUGAGCUAAUACCGGAUAACGUCGCCAAACCAAAGAUUUAUCACCGAAAGAUGAGCCCGCGUGGGAUUAGCUAGUUGGUGAGGUAAAGGCUCACCAAGGCGACGAUCCUUAGCUGGUCUGAGAGGAUGAUCAGCCACACUGGGACUGAGACACGGUCCAGACUCCUACGGGAGGCAGCAGUGGGGAAUAUUGGACUAUGGGCGAAAGCCUGAUCCAGCAAUGCCGCGUGAGUGAUGAAGGCGUGAGGGUUGUAAAGCUCUUUUACCCGGGAAGAUAAUGACGGUACCGGGAGAAUAAGCCCCGGCUAACUCCGUG
rnacentral:rRNA from 1 species